GAUGAAGAACGUAGCGAAAUGCGAUACGUAAUGUGAAUUGCAGAAUUCCGUGAAUCAUCGAAUCUUUGAACGCACAUUGCGCCCGCCAGCAUUCUGGCGGGCAUGCCUGUUCGAGCGUCAUUUCAACCCUCGACGUCCCCUGGGACGUCGGCCUUGGGGACCGGCAGCACCCCGCCGGCCCUGAAAUGGAGUGGCGGCCCGUCCGCGGCGACCUCUGCGCAGUACAACCACUCGCACCGGGAACCCGACGCGGCCCGCCGUGAAACCCCCAACCUCUGAACGUUGACCUCGGAUCAGGUAGGACUACCCGCUGAACUUAAGCAUAUCAAUAAGCGGAGGA
rnacentral:misc_RNA from 1 species